rnacentral:rRNA from 1 species
GAUGAACGCUGGCGGCGUGCUUAACACAUGCAAGUCGAACGGUGAACGAGGGAGCUUGCUCCCUCCGGAUCAGUGGCGAACGGGUGAGUAACACGUGAGCAAUCUGCCCUGGACUCUGGGAUAAGCGUUGGAAACGACGUCUAAUACCGGAUACGAGGCGUGGGGGCAUCCCCAACGCCUGGAAAGAACUUCGGUCCAGGAUGAGCUCGCGGCCUAUCAGCUUGUUGGUGAGGUAACGGCUCACCAAGGCGACGACGGGUAGCCGGCCUGAGAGGGUGACGGGCCACACUGGGACUGAGACACGGCCCAGACUCCUACGGGCGGCAGCAGUGAGGAAUAUUGCACAAUGGGCGCAAGCCUGAUGCAGCAACGCCGCGUGAGGGACGACGGCCUUCGGGUUGUAAACCUCUUUUAGCAGGGAAGAAGCGAAAGUGACGGUACCUGCAGAAAAAGCACCGGCUAACUACGUGCCAGCAGCCGCCGUAACAC